rnacentral:rRNA from 1 species
UUAAUUUAUUAAGCCUAAAUUAUUAGUAGUUAAGUUCUUGAAAAUUAAUGAGGAUGGCGGUAUUUUAGUCUAUUCAGAGGAAUCUGCCCUGUGAUUGAUAUUCCACGAUUUAAAUUACUUGGAUUUUUAGCUUGCAUAUCGCUGUAGUUGGAAUAUUUUUAUUGAAUUAAAAUAUUCAUAAUUUUUAAGGAAAGGAAAUCAAGUCAAGAUGUAGCUUAUAUCUAAGUAGAGGUGGAUUACAUUAUUUGUAUAUGUGGUUGGAUUUCUGAAAAGGUUUCUAUAAAAUGGAUUUGAAGGUAAUUUUUUACUAAAAUUUGGGAAAUGAUUUUAGCUCUAAAAUA